rnacentral:lncRNA from 1 species
ACAUUCCCAACUAGGCGCAUCUGGGGUCAGCCUUCCUCAGUCCGGGUGGUUUCUUCCGACCGACCGUCAGCACUCGACAAAUAACUGAGCAGCUGCUGGGGCCGGGAACACCGCGGGGACAGGUCAGAGCUGACCCUGAGCGACUCUACUGCCUCUCCCCGCCACGCCCACCUGCCCCCUGCGGGGUAGGACCCCGCAACCACCACUCCAGAGUCCUCUGCAGGGACUGCUGUUGCUACGGGAGAGGAAGCCAGAGGAAGGGGACGCCAUCUGGGGGAUGCUUGGGCCGUGGUGGCUGCAGAAGCAGCAGCAGCAGUGACGGCCACCGCCGCCAACCAGGGGCUUCUCCCUGGCCAGCGCAGCCACCUGGGCUCCGGGCAGCAGCAUUUUCCACGUGGCUCCUCCAAUCCUCACGAGACAGCAGCUCCCUGCAUUGCUAAUGGUGAGCCCACCUGACUUGCUACUCUCAGCCCUUCCUGAUUGCAAUGUCUGUGUCACCAAUUUCCUCUAUUAACCUUCCUGACAAGUCGGCGUGCUAUUGAGAAACAAAUGAGUGAACCAGGGCAAUCAGAGCUCCGAAAAAUAAAGCGAGCAAGUGCAGAAAAGGUCA